rnacentral:rRNA from 1 species
UACGUAGGGUGCAAGCGUUGUCCGGAAUUAUUGGGCGUAAAGAGCUCGUAGGCGGUUUGUCGCGUCUGCUGUGAAAACUCGGGGCUUAACCCCGGGCCUGCAGUGGGUACGGGCAGACUAGAGUGCGGUAGGGGAGACUGGAAUUCCUGGUGUAGCGGUGAAAUGCGCAGAUAUCAGGAGGAACACCGGUGGCGAAGGCGGCUCUCUGGGACGGUACUGACGCUGAGACGCGAAAGCGUGGGGAGCGAACAGG